GUGGGGAAUCUUCCGCAAUGGACGAAAGUCUGACGGAGCAACGCCGCGUGAGUGAAGAAGGUUUUCGGAUCGUAAAGCUCUUUCGUUAGGGACGAACGUGCUCUUUGUGAAUAAUGAGGAGUAAUGACGGUACCUAAAUAAGAAGCCACGGCUAACUACGUGCCAGCAGCCGCGGUAAUACGUAGGUGGCAAGCGUUGUCCGGAAUUAUUGGGCGUAAAGCGCGCGCAGGCGGGAUAUCAAGUCUGGCUUAAAAGUGCGAGGCUCAACCUCGUGAGGGGACAGAAACUGGUAUUCUUGAGUGUCGGAGAGGAAAGUGGAAUUCCAAGUGUAGCGGUGAAAUGCGUAGAGAUUUGGAAGAACACCAGUGGCGAAGGCGACUUUCUGGACGAUGUCUGACGCUGAGGCGCGAAAGCUAGGGGAGCGAACGGGAUUAGAAACCCUGGUAGUCC
rnacentral:rRNA from 1 species